rnacentral:rRNA from 1 species
UAGAGUUUGAUCCUGGCUCAGAAUCAACGCCGGCUGCGUGCUUAACACAUCGUAAGUCGAACGAGAAUGUGGAGNCAUCCAUGAGUACAGUGGCGAACGGGUGAGGAACUCGUGACUAACCUGCCUGCUUGUGGGGGACAACCUCGGUGAAACCGGGGCUAGUACCGCAUAAGAUCCCAAGGGUGCAAUUCCCCUUGGCA